CGGCCGCCCGCUCUCCCCGGCGCCCGCCGCCGCCGCUCGCUUUUUUAAUGUCCACAGACAGUGAAAAGGAACUCGGCGUUAGGGGGCUGCCGCCGUGUCGGAGGCGAGGCAAGGAAGGGAGCUGGAAUAACAAAGAAGGAAGUCAUCUCCAGAGAUAAAGAGAGUGAGCCCAAGCCACAGAAAGAAAAGGAGAAUGAAGACCGGGCACUGUGGCUCAUGCCUGUAAUCCCAGCACUUUGGGAGGCUGAGGCAGGCAGAUCACAAGUGAUUUUCCCUACUGGGCAGCAGAUGAUUUCUUCAAAGGUUGCCUGGAUCAGAGUCCUUAAGGGAAUUAAGAAGUUGGGGAGUAAUGACCACAUCAAGUGUCGGUGAGGAUGUGGAGGAACUGGAACUCUUACACACAGCUGGUGGGGAUGUACAAUGAAAUGACCACUUUGGAAAACAGUCUGACAGUUAAAAAAAAAAAUUUAACAUAACAUCUAUCAUAUGAGCCAGCCAAUCUACUUGUAGGUAUUUACUCAAGAAGAAAGGAACACGGCUAUACAAAGACUUGUACAUAAUGUUCAUAGCAGCUUUAUUUGUAAUAGCCAAAGAGUGCAAAUGUCCAUUAGUAGGGAAAUGGAUAAACAAGUCAUAGUAUAUCCAUACCAUAAAAUACAACUUAGCAAUAAAAAGAAAUGAAUGAUUGACAUACACAAAGACAUGGGUGAAUCUCCAAAAAUUAUGCUAAGCAAAAGAAAGCACACAAAAAAGCACAUGCUGUGUGAUUCCAUUGAUAUGAAAAUGUAUAAAAUGUGAACUGAUCUACAGUGAUAUAAAGUACAUCAUUGGUUUCCUGGGGACAGGGUUACGGUGCGGCAAGAGGGAGGAAUGAAAACAGGGAAUGAAGAAACUUUGGGGCUAUGAAUGUAUUUGUUAUCUUGAUGGCAGUGAUUAUUUCAUGGCUUAAACUUACAUCAAAGUUUAUCAAAUUGUACAUUUAAAAUAUGACAUACAGUUUAUUGGAGCCAAUUAAACCUCAAUAAAGUAGUUAAAGAAGAGUUCAUGGAUAAGACAAAUGUAGCUGCUGCUUGUCCAAUAUUUCCUCCCUGUUUCUUUAGCUCAAGGGAACUCCAAUUUUUUUUGGGUGGCAUUGCAAAUGGGUUAUAACUGAUCUAAGCCACUUAUGAUAAUCCCAUUACCCACUCUGCCUGUCUCCUUUGCAGCUGGGACCGGCCAUAUAACCUAAGUCACAGAGACCUAAGAUGACCUAAGUUGACUGUUGACGAUUCUGGGAAAGCUUUGGCUCUCGUAAUAUAAAGUGGGCUUAAUGUGCCUGUUGCAAAACUUUCCUCCUCUCCUUCCUGUUUGGAGUUAGAACAUGAUAUCUGGAGCUGCAACAGCUAUCUUGUCACCUUGAGGGCAAGGCUGAGAGAGCUGUAAACAUGCUGGCCUUGGUUUCACGCAACCUUUGAGCAGCUACCUUCCUCUGGUCUUGACGUGCAAGAAAAAUGCUCCCUAUUUGUUUGUUUCUACUGCUGCAAAUAGUUUUCUGUUACUUGUAGCUGAAGAAUACAUUCUCACUGUUAUAACUGGGUUGGUGUUUCAGUUAUUUACUGCUACAUAACAAACUCUCCUAAAUUUAGAGCACGAAACCACAACCAUUUUUAAAUUCUCAUGGUCCUUUGGGCCAGGAAAUUUGCUAGGGCACAGCAGGAAUACCUUGUCUCUUCUCCAUGAUGUCUGGGGCUUCAGCUGGAGAUGGCUGUGGCAAAUCAAUUAUAGCUAGGUGUCUGGGGCUGCUGUGAGAUUUGCCAGGGCUGGGAUGUCUGCAGUCACUCUUUCACUUACGUGUUUGGUGCUCGGGCUAAGACUGAGCUCUGUCA